UGCAGAAUCCCGUGAACCAUCGAGUCUUUGACGCAAGUUGCGCCCGAAGCCUUCUGGCUGAGGGCACGUCUGCCUGGGCGUCA
rnacentral:rRNA from 1 species